GGGGGUGACAUGGCUUCGACGGCGAUGUUGAAACCUGACGUGCAUGCCGAGGUGCAGUGGCCCUCGUUAAUCUCUACUGCAAACAAGCUAGUUGCGAACGACGCUAACUACGCCCUCGCCGCUUAAUCCCGGUGAGCGGUUGCCUCGGUGGUGUUGAUGCCCCGUACGCAGCCGUCGACUCUCAUCAACUCGCGCAAACGUCCGCCCUUGGCGUAAGUGCUAAAACCCUAAGGGGAUAAGUGUUGGCGUUCCGUGCCUGUCCGGCAGCCCGCAUCGAAAACCAAUGAUUAGGCUACGCAUGUAGAGCGAAGGGCGGAGAAUCGUCGGACGCGGGUUCAAUUCCCGCCACCUCCACCA
rnacentral:tmRNA from 1 species